rnacentral:rRNA from 1 species
GUGUCAGCCGCCGCGGUAAGACGAAGGGGGCUAGCGUUGUUCGGAAUUACUGGGCGUAAAGCGCGUGUAGGCGGUUAUCCAAGUCGGGUGUGAAAGCCUUGAGCUCAACUCAAGAAAUGCACUCGGUACUGGGUGACUAGAGGACCGGAGAGGAUAGUGGAAUUCCCAGUGUAGUGGUGAAAUACGUAGAGAUUGGGAAGAACACCAGUGGCGAAGGCGGCUAUCUGGACGGUUUCUGACGCUAAGACGCGAAAGCGUGGGGAGCAAACAGGAUUAGAUACCCCCGUAGUCC